rnacentral:tRNA from 3 species
GGAGAGAUGGCUGAGUGGUCGAAAGCACCGCACUCGAAAUGCGGCGUGCUCGUGAGGGUACCUAGGGUUCGAAUCCCUAUCUCUCCGCCA